CCAAUAGCGUAUAUUAAAGUUGUUGCAGUUAAAAAGCUCGUAGUUGAAUUUCGGGGUUAGCAGGUCGGUCGUGCCAAUGGUAUGCACUGGCCUUGCUGAUUCCUCCCUCUUGAUGAGCCGUAAUGCCAUUAAUUUGGUGUUGCGGGGAAUCAGGACUGUUACUUUGAAAAAAUUAGAGUGUUUAAAGCAGGCAAGCGCUUGAAUACAUUAGCAUGGAAUAAUGAAAUAGGACGUUUGUUCCUAUUUUGUUGGUUUCUAGGAUUGACGUAAUGAUUAAUAGUGCUAGUUGGGGGCAUUAGUAUUCAAUUGUCAGAGGUGAAAUUCUUGGAUUUAUUGAAGACUAACUACUGCGAAAGCAUUUGCCAAGGAUGUGUUCAUUAAUCAAGAACGAAAGUUAGGGGAUCGAAGACGAUCAGAUACCGUCGUAGUCUUAACCAUAAACUAUGCCGACUAGGGAUCGGAUGAUGUUAAUUUUUUAAUGACUCAUUCGGCGCCUUACG
rnacentral:rRNA from 1 species